ensembl:lncRNA
UGAUGUCCACAAUUCUUUUUUAUUCCUCUCACAAUCAUGAAGCACUGUGAAAACUAGAAACAAGUAAAAUAAUAUUAAGAGCACAUACGACAUCCAUGUCAACCAGUUAUUACUUUUCACAAAGUGCACAAGUGCUUAACAAAUUAGCCAGCAUGUUUUUACUGUGUACGCCUUGUAAAACCAGCAGUAGAGAAGUUGUAGAUUCCAUGUUCUGUGUUAUCGUUGUCUUGUCUCUCCGGCGCACAACUUCCAGUUCCCGCAACUCACAGGAAGUGACUACUUCAGAAUAAUUUUUAACAGAAACAUUUUUUAUAAAAAUGUAUCACUGGACUCAUAGAUUAUCUCUUUCUACUAUAAGUGUACACAAACAUGAGUCCCAAAUACAGGAAAACAAAUAGAAAACAAUACAACAACCUCAGACACGCUUCUGGUGUUGUCAUGGCAACCCACACAAACAUUUUAUCAUCAGCUACAUUCAGUAUGGUCACUUGUUAUUGUUAGCCCCUUCCCAAUAUUGUGGAAAACAUCUUAUUUUACUGUCACUGUAUAUCAUUCAUAAAGCACUGUCAUUAUUUCAUUAUUACUUCAUUAGUCCGCAUCAGCUUAUCAUCAAUAUUAUCAUGUAUCACAAUACUCUAUCAGUUAGUAGAGCACCAGUUUAGCUGGGGGUCCAGUCAGCCCGCAGUAAAGUCAUAUGAGGACACGGUGAACUUUUGUUGGCCGGAAACGGACACUCUCACACAACUACACAUUCUACACACUAUUGGUUAUGUUCCCAGAAUACAGAGGAGUGGAAACAUCUGGAACAUGUUGUUGUUCUUAGCCAUACAAGGACAUAGAAGGGUGAACUGACUGAUACUUAUCAGGUGAUUUGACGUCAUCAUUGCAAUAAAAGCCUUGUGUUAGGGUUGUUCUGGGGAGAUUGGCUCGUGAAGGCUGGUGGGGCUCAUCUUCCCCAUAUGUACAUAUGUAUAAUAAAAUCACUAUUCUGACAUCUACUGAGAGACCAUGCAGUCAUUUGUCUCUUCCUCAAAUUCGAACCUUGACAUUUUGGUGCCGAAACACCGGUUUGAGGGGAGACUAAUGGACCUUGGCUGACGGUCUAGUGGUGUCAGACGGACGGCCAGGAGCUCGACUGAGUGAUGGGCCCCGAAAUAGGAGAGGUAAGCACCGCCUGUUGUUGGAUCUCCAAAGGUGCUGAAUUGGAAAUCAAGCUAAAUUAAAUGUUCACUCAGUGGAGCUUCUGUUCUGUCCGUGGUGAUUUUGGGGUAAUUAGUGUUAAAACUUAAGGGGGAAUAUUUGAAGUGAACUGUUGAGUUAAGAGGUUAUGUGUUUAAGUCAAUACGGUUUAAAAGGUUUAAAGGUUUAAAUGUGGGGUGGUUGGGUGCCAGCCAAUCACCCCACCCGGUAGCGUAGGGUAUGUGGUUUAAUUGAUCAGUAAAAACGCGGUUUUGGGUCUCAGGUAAUUAAACUGGAGGGCAGGGUACCCACAGUGAGGCUUUUAAAAUAAGUAAAUUUAAUUAGGACGGGGGCGUGGCCCCUAGGAAUGCAGUCUGUUCAGCAGGUGGCGCUGACCCCUAAUUGCGGACGCGUGGUUAGGUUUUAAGCUCGGAGUGGCUCUCCGUGGGACUUCGGACACCCGUUAAUAAAGCUAGGUGAUCUACGAGUGAUUGCCUUAAUACUGCAUUAAUUGACUGACAGGGUCGCGGACCCGGCCAGGACCACCCAACGUCGUUGGCCUGAGAGCUUUAAGUAAAGCUGAAGGCGUGGGUUUGAUACUAGCGCCAGAGGUGGAGCUCCUUCCCAGCUGCGGGAAAUGGUUAUAAAUCAAUUAGAGCUUAGGAAUUAGACUGCGAUCGGGAGGGCGGGUCCCGAAGCGUGUAAUUGAUCAGAAAGGCGCGGCCUGGGCUACAGAGGCUUUUAAAUUAGUCAAAAAGUUUAGGUACACCAGCAGAGAAAUAGAGAAAAGAAGCUGGUCUGGCAUGUGGUGUUUUUCUUACGUUUAUACGGGCCCGUGUGUAAAUAGAAUAUAAAUUACCGGUGUGUGUAAAUAAAGUGUAAAAUAGUGGUAUAAAUUGUCUGUUGAAUUUCUCCUGAGUGUUGAAAAAAGGAAAAACUCUUUUCUGCUCUCUCUGAGAGAGGGGCUGUGUGUGUGUGUGACAGGAAGAGUGCAUGCCCAUAGAAGGAAAGAGAUGAGGUAAACUCUGUGCAGAUAGACCGAAGUAAAAAAAAAAAAAGGAAAAGUGUGUCUCUCUCUCUGUCUCAAGCAGUUGCAAGGAGGGGGGCUUCUAACCCCGCGGUGUGUGUAUGAGGAGAGAAGGAGAGAGAGGGGGGCAGCGUGCGUCCAUUUAAUAUUGAGGAAAGUGCAGAAACAGUUUUUUUUUUUUUUUUUUUCUGUUUCUUUAAGUUUGAAUGGGCAUGAAGCGAAUGGAGGUUACGGAUAAAUAACGGUGGACUUCUCUCAACCUGGAAUUUUGGGUACGGCGCCAAAACCAGUAGAGUAACAUAAUUGGGAGAAAACAGGCCGGAUUUUGGCUUAAAAAGUUUUACAGCUUGACCUCCCACUUGUCCCGAUCCUGAGAAGAAGCUCAAAGGACAAUUAAUCUCCUGAUGAAGACCAAUAGAACAUCGUGAACUUGAGAAGAAUUUACAAGCAGCCGAAAAUAGUGCAACUGAACUGUUAACCCUGAAACCAAAACUGACAUGCACUCUGAGUUACAGGCUGGACAGUUGAACGGUGGGAAAGCACUGGACACUGAUUGUCAGAUUUGCCAUGCUUGGAGUAAUCGUGAAAGAGACGAUUGAAGCAUCAACAGCGAAGAAGAAACCACGUGAUGGACAAUGCACGGUGGACUGCAGGCUGGUAAGAACAGUGUGAUAUGACACUGAACGUGAUAUUUUGCCAGGCUGGGAUUUAAUCCAGAAGGAAAUACUGAAGAGAAACGGAGAAGAAACGGACUGUGUGCUGGUGAAUCCAGGACAAUAAAUGGACACUGAGAGAAGAGGACGGGAACCUGUGUGAGGUGAAGCUUGACUGUAAGAAUACGGGGUAUAAUUAGAUUGAAAUGAAAGCCUGCACUCGUGAUGGUGUUUAGAGAUGUCCACCGGAAAACUAAAAGAGGUAAACAGGAGAAGAUAAAAUAAAGAAAGAAAAUAACUGACAAUUACAUGAGUGAAUGGAAAACACACAUACACAAAGUGUUACAGGUGUAAUUAUACUCUUAUAAAGAAUCAGAAGUGAGAUAGUUUUGAAUGAAGAAAUCAGUGAAACGAUGCAUGAAUUCACUCUGAAUAUAACAUAUAGAGGCAAUGAAGAAUGCAGCUUACACUCACUGAACAUUAACAAAAACAUAUAGGAUUGGCAAUGAAGACCUGCUUACACUUACGGGCAGUUUAAGUACUCAUGAUGAUAAUAAAAUGUCUCAAUUGUGUUUCUUCAGGGGCGAGACAGACCUGGAUCAAUUCCCCACGUGCAGCAGUCGGAAGAACCUAUAGGUUAACUUGACUGGAUAUGUUAAGGCCUGCAACAGUGAAUAACAGCACAAAUUCUCGGGAAGAGCAAAUAUAAGAUCUGCACGUCGGGAAUUAAAAGCGCUGUACGACACGUCGUCGAGGAAAUUGUUGCAAGUGAGUUUCUCCACAUUAAAAUGGGCUCAGGAGAAAGCCACUUAUCUGGGACAAUUAGAAAGUAAGUUCCUGUCCAAAAAGGAUUCAGCGAUGUAAUCCAAGCUAAAGUUCUUCGUUUUCUUUUUGAAAUGACGUCAUUUUGCUGAGUGUGGAAACUAAAUGCGACGACAGGUUUCACUAUCAGCAAAGAAAUGGAUGAAUGGAUGAAUGGAUGAAAGACUGGAAAUACAACAAACAAACGGACUGACUGGUAAAAGAUGACAAGACUUGACCACGACUCAAGGUUAACCACCUCCACCUAGAUAGGAUAAAAGGGUGGAUGAAUUUAUGUGUUUCUUUCUACAGGAGCAGAAAGAGGACAGCGACAUCUGAGGUUGCAUGACGAUUUAACUUUUAAAUGUUACUUUCUGUGUAUGUGAAAGUGUGUACACACCUGCGCAGCGUUAUCAACCACUUGUCAACUUAAAAAGAGAGUGUUGUUUGCCAAUAAUGUUUUCCUACUACAGGAUUUCUGGGCUUAUGUGUGAAGAAACGGUGUUUAUGGGUUAUGAUUUGGUAAGGCGAUUAAACGGCGGGAGACACAUCCUGUCUUGAAAACAGUGUGAUUCUUUUUACAGGAAAUCUUUUAUAGCAUCUCUGGUAGGUAGAUGGCUGACCGCGGUCAAUGUGCUGCUAAUGUUUGCUUUGCUGUUGUUAAGAAUGCGUGAGGAGGGUGCAGUAGAAAACAGACAAGUGACAUGAAAACAAAAGAUUAAUAGUAAAACAAGUAAUAAUAACAAAUAACAAAUUUGGGGACAGUUUGUCGUAGAGCUCACUAACUGGCCAUUAGGGGGCUCUGAGUGAUAAACAAGGGGAGUAACAUUGCCCAAAGUGUGAAUAAAACAGAUUGCGGCAAUAGUAGUGAUUUAAUGAUUGGAGAGAAUCUGAACACGAUACUUGUCUGUUGUGCUGAAUCUUUUAUUACUCUUAUGAUUUACAGGGGGUAAAUAAGCUGUCUGAUUUAACAGAUUUGCUUUUUAGGUGAACUGGGAGUUAAAGGAGGUUAACAGGUAGCUGCUGACUAAUGUUUUUACACAGGGUUACUGGUUGGCGGGAGAGUGUGUUAGAGAGGAUGUGUAAUGUUCUUGUGCAGUUUGCAGUAGGGAGAUUGCAAAUACAACUAGAACUAUUAACGGAGACUAAUUAAAACUAACCUGAAACUGAGGAGGUUCUAUAUAAGGAAGAAUUAAAACAGAUAUAAAAUGCAUCCGAUCUUUAAUUGCAGGUGUGACCAUGAAGAUUUUUGGUACAUAUUGCAGGUUGUUGCUCAUUAUAGAAUUGUGCUCAGCUUCAUAAGGCAAAAAGCUAUAGCAGGGGUCUAUGAUUUCGUUUGUGUUUUAAUGAUUUAGGUAUGGCAAAAUUAAAGGUUUUUGGACAAUUUAGGGAACCAGUGAGAAGCAUGAUUAGAUGAUCAGAAACUGAGUACUAGACUUAAACUUAAGUUAGAAUUAAAAAUGCCCAAUUGGUUGGAGGUCUGUUGGUCACUUUUAUACACACAUAGGCAUGGCAUAGGAUUGGAAUAAACAAAGUCAACAACAUUAGGUUAGGAGAGCCAGCGAGGGAGAUGUGUUGGUUUUCUGUCUCUUGCAGAGAAAGGAACAGACACCAGAUGAGGUCACAGAUAGGCGAGGAUCCUUCGCAGCAGAGAUAGACACAGUGACUGCCGAGACAUCAACUGGGUCCAAGGGUCAUGGCGUUUGGGCUCCAGGUAGUCACCUCAAAAGGAUGGAUCCCAUAAACACAGCAGUAACCAUGAAGGGGUUGGCGGAAAUCCAGGAACACCAGACCAACGAGGUUCGAGAGGCUCUGGGGCUAAAGGGGGACACAUUCCGGUUUCUUUUCCUGGAGGUUCGAGGACCUGAGGAUACACAGAUCGUUGUUCGAAAUCGGGGCAGAAUAAUCCCCUGAUCUGUGCCACGACUGAAGGGUUGUCUAACCCCUGAGGUUGAAGAAUGAAGAGGAGCGUCGCGCCAAGCAGCAUUUGAUUAAUUCAUUCCAGGCUCCUAAUAGGCUAGGGCUCUAGACUGAAGUAAUUGAUAGUUUAAAGGAAUCGUAAUCGUUUUGUAUGUUAACCACAUAUUUUUAUACUCAGAAGUUUAUACUCUCAUUCUUAUAACCUCAUAUUUUUAUCACGAAGUUUAAAGUAAAAGUAAAAGAGCCUGGGAACAGGGAUCAUGAAACUGUGGGGAAAAUUAGAAACUAACGAGGAUGUUGGGGUUGAUAAGUGCUGUAACGUGUUGGUUGAAGUUGUGCUGGCAAAGCCAGCACAAAAAGGGGGAGUUAUUGAGGAAAACAUCUUAUUUUACUGUCACUGUAUAUCAUUCAUAAAGCACCGUCAUUAUUUCAUUAUUACUUCAUUAGUCCGCAUCAGCUUAUCAUCAAUAUUAUCAUGUAUCACAAUACUCUAUCAGUUAGUAGAGCACCAGUUUAGCUGGGGGUCCAGUCAGCCCGCAGUAAAGUCAUAUGAGGACACGGUGAACUUUUGUUGGCCGGAAACGGACACUCUCACACAACUACACAUUCUACACACUAUUGGUUAUGUUCCCAGAAUACAGAGGAGUGGAAACAUCUGGAACAUGUUGUUGUUCUUAGCCAUACAAGGACAUAGAAGGGUGAACUGACUGAUACUUAUCAGGUGACUUGACGUCAUCAUUGCAAUAAAAACCUUGUGUUAGGGUUGUUCUUGGGAGAUUUGCUCGUGAAGACUUGUGACGCUCAUCUUCCCCAUAUGUACAUAUGUAUAAUAAAAUCACUAUUCUGACAUCUACUGAGAGACCAUGCAGUCGUUUGUCUCUUCCUCAAAUUCGAACCUUGACA